AUGGCUCUGAGGCGCGUUCUCCCGGCGCUGCACCCCUACGUUCCCCGCUUCGCCUAGGUGUCCGCGGCGCCGGCCGUCGGCUAGCAGCCCGCCGCGGGCCCAGGGGCCGUGCCGGGACGUGGGUCAGCCAAGGCAGUGCGACCACCGGUGCCCGCCGUGGACUUCGGCAGCGCGCAGAAGGCGUACCGCAGCCGGCGAACCUGGGAGCUGGCGCGCAGCCUGCUGGUGCUGCGCUUGUGCGCCUGGCCCGCGCUGCUGGCGCGCCACGAGCAGGACCUCCAGAGCGCCAUGUGCGGGGACUUCAUGGAUGGGGUGGGGUGGGGCCAGGAGCCUGCUGUGGGCUGGCCAGGCGUGGACACCAAGCUGGAGGUGGCGGCGCUGCAGGAAAGUGUUGCAAAGAUGGGCAUCGCAUCCAGGGCUGAGAUUGAGGACUGGUUCAUGGCGGAGACCCCGGGAGUGUCUGGGACCAUGGACCUGCUGGACUGGGGCAGCCUCAUCGACAGCAGGACCAAGCUCUCCAAGCACCUGGUCGUCCCCAACGCACAGACAGGACAGCUGGAGCCCCUGCUGUCCCGGUUCACUGAGGAGGAGGAGCUACAGAUGACGAGGAUGCUACAGUGGAUGGAUGUCCUGGCCAAGAAAGCCACAGAGGUGGGCGUGCGGCUGAUGGUGGACGCUGAGCAGACCUACUUCUAACCGGCCAUCAGCCGCCUGACGCUGGAGAUGCAGCGCAAGUUCAAUGUGGAGAAGCCGCUCAUCUUCAACACGUACCAGUGCUACCUCAAGGAUGCCUGUGACAAUGUGACCCUGGGCGUGGAGCUGGCUCGCCGUGAGUGCUGAUGUUUUGGGGCCAAGCUGGUGCGGGGCACAUACCUGGCCCAGGAGCGAGCCCGUGCAGCAGAGAUCGGCUAUGAGGACCCCAUCAACCCCACGUACGAGGCCACCAACGCCAUGUACCACAGGUGCCUGGACUACGUGCUGGAGGAGCUGAAGCACAACGCCAAGGCCAAGGUGAUGGUGGCCUCCCACAAUGAGGACACAGUGCGCUUCACGCUGCGCAGGAUGGAGGAGCUGUGCCUGCAUCUCACUGACCACCAGGUGUACUUUGGACAGCUGCUAGGCAUGUGUGACCAGAUCAGCUUCCCGCUGGGCCAGGCCGGCUACCCCGUGUACAAGUACGUGCCCUACGGCCCCGUGAUGGAGGUGCUGCCCUACUUGUCCCGCUGCGCCCUGGAGAACAGCAGCCUCAUGAAGGGCGCCUGUCGGGAGUGGCGGCUGCUGUGGCUGGAGCUCUUGCGGCGGCUCCGAACUGGCAGCCUCUUCCGUCGCCCUGCCUAGCACCCGCCAGCCCACCCUCGGCCUCCAGGGCCCCCCGCACCCACCCCAGGCCGUCACCACAGCUGCAGCCAACCCCAUCCUCACACAGAGUCACCUUUUUUCACUCCACACUUGCAGAGCUGCUGGAGGUGGGGUCAGGUGCCUCCCAGCCCUGCCCAGGGUCUGGGCACUCAGGUGUGGGCCGAACCCGCUACCUGCCUCGGAUAGCCGCUGGGAACGGUUGGGAACUCUCCCCGGAUGUGUAGGCCCAAGGCCCCCACCUCUGUGACCCCUAUGUCCUCGGGCCUAGAGGAUUGUUCGCCUUCUGCCAGGGCCAGCCCACACAGCCCGAGCCCCUCGGGGAGCAGAGGCCGGGCUGGGGAGGCCCUGCCUGGUCAAUAAACCACUGUUCCUGCAGCUGAGA